UACAGAGGGUGCAAGCGUUGUUCGGAAUUAUUGGGCGUAAAGGGCGCGUAGGCGGUGCGGUAAGUCACCUGUGAAAUCUCCUGGCUUAACUGGGAGCCUGCAGGCGAAACUACCGUGCUGGAGUGUGGGAGAGGUGCGUGGAAUUCCCGGUGUAGCGGUGAAAUGCGCAGAUAUCAGGAGGAACACCAGCGGCGAAGGCGGCGCUCUGGGCCGGUACUGACACUGAGGAGCGAAAGCGUGGGUAGCAAACAGG
rnacentral:rRNA from 1 species